AUUCGCAAUUUGUUCUUCCAGUCUUACUAUAUUUAAACGAUUUUAUCAACAGAAAAAAUGAAAUUCCUUUCUAAAUUAGACUUUCGUAUACUAAAAAUAUAAUUAUUUAUACAGUUUCUGUAUGUCUUUUUAUAUGAUUUACUAAUCAAAAGCUAAAAAUCUGGAAACUUGUGGAAAUUUUAUUGAUCCGGAAAUUAGUAUUUUAUUACAAAAUUUAUGGACUUUGCAUAUCUUCUUUGAGAAAAAUGGAAAAUAUCUUUCAUAGCUGCAGUUAAUGAUAACCGUUUUGCUAUUUAUGGUGCCAUUUGUUACGUUAUUUCUCCAAAAGCCCCUAGAACACAGUCUUCGUCAAAGCAUCUUUUGACUAAACCAUGUAAAUUAGAUGAGUUUUUGAAGGAAGAGAAAAGGCUUGAGUAAAGUAUUCAUCCAUAUUACCUGACAGAAACGGGAAAUGGGCGUAAUUCCGUACUUCCCUCUGAAAUCUAAAGAAUAUUCCAGCACGCGUAUACUGUUUCCGAAAGAAAAAAAAUCUGAUGGGCCCACCACAGGACUUCUGAAGCAAAGAAUGCCGAAGUGUGUUUAUAACACAUUCAAGAUACAAUUCACAUCAUGCAGAAGCCAGAAAGAAAGCCUUCGUUCGAAGAAGAAUAAAAUUUUUAAUCUUUAAAAUUUCAAAGACAUUUUUGGAAGCAGGCACGAUAAAAAAUGAGCAACGCCUUUGCCUGGAAUAGAACCGUGGGCCUCUGGAAUACGCGUUCAACAUGCGGACCACUACACCACGAAGGCACGCCAAGAAGAUGGAAGAAAUACCUUAUAUCUUAAAAGCAAAUUCGCCCAGUGUCAUUUUUAAAACCUUUAUUUGCAAACUCAUAAACACGCUAUUGUUUAACUGGUUAUUUUAUCAACUUAAUUUUUAACCAAAUAAACUUAAUUUUUGUAUGA
rnacentral:misc_RNA from 1 species